UAGGGAAUCUUCCGCAAUGGACGCAAGUCUGACGGAGCAACGCCGCGUGAGUGAUGAAGGUUUUCGGAUCGUAAAGCUCUGUUGCCCUAGACGAACAGCAUGAGGAGUAACUGCCUUGUGUGUGACGGUAUAGGGGAAGAAAGCCCCGGCUAACUACGUGCCAGCAGCCGCGGUAAUACGUAGGGGGCAAGCGUUGUCCGGAAUUAUUGGGCGUAAAGCGCGCGCAGGCGGUCAAUUAAGUUGGGUGUUUAA
rnacentral:rRNA from 1 species